GUGCUUGCUUCGGCAACACAUACUAAAAUUAGAACGAUACAGAGAAGAUUAGCAUGGCCCCUGCACAAGGAUGACAUGCAAAUUCAUGAAGCGUUCCAUAUUUAA
rnacentral:snRNA from 1 species